AAGAUGGCUGUGCUAUCACUUUUGGAUGGACCCGCGGCGUAUUAGCUAGUUGGUGAGGUAAAGGCUCACCAAGGCAGUGAUACGUAGCCGACCUGAGAGGGUAAUCGGCCACAUUGGGACUGAGACACGGCCCAGACUCCUACGGGAGGCAGCAGUAGGGAAUCUUCCACAAUGGACGCAAGUCUGAUGGAGCAACGCCGCGUGAGUGAAGAAGGGUUUCGGCUCGUAAAGCUCUGUUGUUAAAGAAGAACGUGGGUAAGAGUAACUGUUUACCCAGUGACGGUAUUUAACCAGAAAGCCACGGCUAACUACGUGCCAGCAGCCGCGGUAAUACGUAGGUGGCAAGCGUUAUCCGGAUUUAUUGGGCGUAAAGCGAGCGCAGGCGGUCUUUUAAGUCUAAUGUGAAAGCCUUCGGCUCAACCGAAGAAGUGCAUUGGAAACUGGGAGACUUGAGUGCAGAAGAGGACAGUGGAACUCCAUGUGUAGCGGUGAAAUGCGUAGAUAUAUGGAAGAACACCAGUGGCGAAGGCGGCUGUCUGGUCUGCAACUGACGCUGAGGCUCGAAAGCAUGGGUAGCGAACAGGAUUAGAUACCCUGGUAGUCCAUGCCGUAAACGAUGAUUACUAAGUGUUGGAGGGUUUCCGCCCUUCCAGUGCUGCAGCUAAACGCC
rnacentral:rRNA from 1 species